UACGUAGGGUGCGAGCGUUAAUCGGAAUUACUGGGCGUAAAGAGCGCGCAGGCGGUCGUUCAAGUCGCGUGUGAAAGCCCCCGGCUCAACUGGGGAGGGUCACGCGAUACUGAUCGACUCGAAGGCAGGAGAGGGUAGUGGAAUUCCCGGUGUAGUGGUGAAAUGCGUAGAUAUCGGGAGGAACACCAAUAGCGAAGGCAGCUCGCUGGGACGUUACUGACACUGAGGCGCGAAAGCGUGGGGAGCGAGACGG
rnacentral:rRNA from 1 species